rnacentral:rRNA from 1 species
GAUGAACGCUAGCGGCAGGCCUCAUACAUGCAAGUCGAGGGGCAGCGGGACACUUCGGUGUUGCCGGCGACCGGCGGACGGGUGCGUAAUGCGCAUGCAAUCUACUUUACACUGGGGAAUAGCCUCCGGAAACGGGAAUUAAUACCCCAUAUAAUCUUAUUAGCGCAUGUUAAAAAGAUGAAAGCUCCGGCGGUGUAAAAUGAGCGUGCGUCCUAUUAGCUAGUUGGUGAGGUAAUGGCUCACCAAGGCUACGAUGGGUAGGGGUUCUUAGUGGAAGGUCCCCCACACUGGCACUGAGAUACGGGCCAGACUCCUACGGGAGGCAGCAGUAGGGAAUAUUGGUCAAUGGGCGCAAGCCUGAACCAGCCAUGCCGCGUGCAGGAUGAAGGCUCUCUGAGUUGUAAACUGCUUUUGUACAGGAGCAAAAAAAUCCCUGCGGGGGUUCUUGAGAGUACUGUAAGAAUAAGCACCGGCUAAUUCCGUGCCAGCAGCCGCGGUAAUACGGGAGGUGCAAGCGUUAUCCGGUUUUAUUGGGUUUAAAGGGUGCGUAGGCGGCUUAUUAAGUCAGUUGUGAAAUCCUAGUGCUUAACGCUAGAACUGCGAUUGAUACUAUUAGGCUUGAGUUAAGAAGAGGUAA